rnacentral:rRNA from 1 species
ACGCUGGCGGCGUGCCUAAUACAUGCAAGUAGAACGCUGAAGAGAGGAGCUUGCUCUUCUUGGAUGAGUUGCGAACGGGUGAGUAACGCGUAGGUAACCUGCCUGGUAGCGGGGGAUAACUAUUGGAAACGAUAGCUAAUACCGCAUAAAAUUGAUUAUUGCAUGAUAAUUAAUUGAAAGAUGCAAUUGCAUCACUACCAGAUGGACCUGCGUUGUAUUAGCUAGUUGGUGAGGUAACGGCUCACCAAGGCGACGAUACAUAGCCGACCUGAGAGGGUGAUCGGCCACACUGGGACUGAGACACGGCCCACACUCCUACGGGAGGCAGCAGUAGGGAAUCUUCGGCAAUGGGGGGAACCCUGACCGAGCAACGCCGCGUGAGUGAAGAAGGUUUUCGGAUCGUAAAGCUCUGUUGUAAGAGAAGAACGGGUGUGAGAGUGGAAAGUUCACACUGUGACGGUAUCUUACCAGAAAGGGACGGCUAACUACGUGCCAGCAGCCGCGGUAAUACGUAGGUCCCGAGCGUUGUCCGGAUUUAUUGGGCGUAAAGCGAGCGCAGGCGGUUAGAUAAGUCUGAAGUUAAAGGCUGUGGCUUAACCAUACUAUGCUUUGGAAACUGUUUAACUUGAGUGCAGAAUGGGAGAGUGGAAUUCCAUGUGUAGCGAUGAAAUGCGUAGAUAUAUGGAGGAACACCGGUGGCGAAAGCGGCUCUCUGGUCUGUAACUGACGCUGAGGCUCGAAAGCGUGGGGAGCAAAACAGGAUUAGAUACCCUGGUAGUCCACGCCGUAAACGAUGAGUGCUAGGUGUUAGGCCCUUUCCGGGGCUUAGUGCCGCAGCUAACGCAUUAAGCACUCCGCCUGGGGAGUACGACCGCAAGGUUGAAACUCAAAGGAAUUGACGGGGGCCCGCACAAGCGGUGGAGCAUGUGGUUUAAUUCGAAGCAACGCGAAGAACCUUACCAGGUCUUGACAUCCCUCUGACCGCUCUAGAGAUAGAGUUUUCCUUCGGGACAGAGGUGACAGGUGGUGCAUGGUUGUCGUCAGCUCGUGUCGUGAGAUGUUGGGUUAAGUCCCGCAACGAGCGCAACCCCUAUUGUUAGUUGCCAUCAUUCAGUUGGGCACUCUAGCGAGACUGCCGGUAAUAAACCGGAGGAAGGUGGGGAUGACGUCAAAUCAUCAUGCCCCUUAUGACCUGGGCUACACACGUGCUACAAUGGCUGGUACAACGAGUCGCAAGCCGGUGACGGCAAGCUAAUCUCUGAAAGCCAGUCUCAGUUCGGAUUGUAGGCUGCAACUCGCCUACAUGAAGUCGGAAUCGCUAGUAAUCGCGGAUCAGCACGCCGCGGUGAAUACGUUCCCGGGCCUUGUACACACCGCCCGUCACACCACGAGAGUUUGUAACACCCGAAGUCGGUGAGGUAACCGCAAGGAGCCAGCCGCCUAAGGUGGGAUAGAUGAUUAGGGU